GACGAACGCUGGCGGCGUGCUUAACACAUGCAAGUCGAACGGUGAAAGCGGAGCUUGCUCCGCUGGAUCAGUGGCGAACGGGUGAGUAACACGUGGGCAACCUGCCCUUCACUUCGGGAUAACUCCGGGAAACCGGGGCUAAUACCGGAUAUGACUUCUGCGGGCAUCCGCGGAGGUGGAAAGUUUUUCGGUGAAGGAUGGGCCCGCGGCCUAUCAGCUUGUUGGGGAGGUAGUGGCUCACCAAGGCGACGACGGGUAGCCGGCCUGAGAGGGCGACCGGCCACACUGGGACUGAGACACGGCCCAGACUCCUACGGGAGGCAGCAGUGGGGAAUAUUGCGCAAUGGGCGAAAGCCUGACGCAGCAACGCCGCGUGCGGGAUGACGGCCUUCGGGUUGUAAACCGCUUCCAGCAGGGAAGAAGCCGCAAGGUGACGGUACCUGCAGAAGAAGCACCGGCUAACUACGUGCCAGCCGCCGCCGUAA
rnacentral:rRNA from 1 species